rnacentral:rRNA from 1 species
UCCGACCUCAGAUCGGACGAGAUUACCCGCUGAAUUUAAGCAUAUAACUAAGCGGAGGAAAAGAAACUAACAAGGAUUUCCCCAGUAACGGCGAGUGAAGCGGGAAGAGCCCAGCACCGAAUCCCUCAGUGUCACGCUGACGGGAACUGUGGUGUGUGGGACGCCACCAGCUGCAACAGAGGGCGCCGAAGUCCUCCUGAUCGGGGCUUCACCCAGAGCGGGUGUAAGGCCUUUGCAGGUGCCUCUCUGUGCGGCCGCGAGCGUCUCAGGAGUCGGGUUGUUUGGGAAUGCAGCCCAAAGCGGGUGGUAAACUCCAUCUAACGCUAAAUACUUGCACGAGU